UGCUUUUGGAGUCAUUUGUCUUUUUAUCCUUUUUCUCUGGAUUUUGAUAUUCACUUUCCCUUCCCUAGUUCUAAUACAUGUAUAUACAGUAUACAGGGUACUCAGAUGAGAUACAGUGAUAGCGGGGACACAACUACAGGAAAGGGAUAGAAGAGGAACAACAACAACAACAAUAACUAUGGCUUCACAUGGCUUGUUGAAAAUAAUUACAACAAUGAUAUAACACUCGUUUCCAUAACAUGGAGUGCAUUUUGCUUAGCAUUG